ensembl:snoRNA small nucleolar RNA Z40
UGAGGUUAUGAUGAUGGGCAAAAUAUUCAACUUCUCUGAAUGGGCUGAAUGAAGAUACCUUUCUGAUCA